AGAAACUCACAAAGCAGGGGUGAGACCUCUGCUCGACAGCAAAGGCAGGCAGCGUCCCUCAUCCCUGCACCACGAGGGCGUCACAGCCCCUUCCCGGGUGGCCACAGCCACAGGGCACCCUGCGCCCUCUCCGGGCCUCGCCUUCCUCUUCUGAAACAGGACGGUGAUCUCAUCCCCCUCACAGGCUGAUGCAGAGACCUAAGGAGCACACUGGCUGUACACGGAGGAAAGCACCUCGGUUUCCUGAAGCAGUGUGGCAUUCGAGUCUGAUUUCCAGCAACUCCACUGCCCCCGCAGCCAGACUUUGCAUGAGCAGAGUUCGCAAACCUUCUAGAAUCUGGCGAGGAACAGAGGAAAUCAGCUAAAGGGCGUAACAGGAAGUGGGGCCUGGACCGGGAACCUGGUUCCUCCGCUCUUUCCCUAUAGGUACAGAAGGAACAGGCCCAGGAAUGAGUAAGAAUGUUUUUCUCUACAAAUAACUCACACCCAAGCCUCAAGCAGGGUUAGGGAGUGAGGCAUUGUGUCAUCACCUACCACAGGAAGCCCAGAGCCAGGGCAGACUCCAGACACGGCACGCAGGGUUGUGACUCUACACACCUGGCGCCUGGGGCACUGGUGUCUUCCAGGCAGCUCUGCCAGGUGUCACAUCUGGACAAGACAGAGAGGUACUAUCUUCCCCUUAGGAGUGAUGAACUCCUUUCCAGAAGCUUCCUGCAGGCUUCUCCUCAUGCCUCACGUCUAGAAUAGAGUGAUCUGCAUGUUCCAAGAACAGUCACUGGUUGGAGAGUUGGUAUCACCGUGACUGGGUGAGCCUGAUGGCUCUAAACUCUGGCUGUACAUCAGAAGCACACACUGAGCUUCUGAAAAGGAGAGGCCUGGGCCCCACUUCCAGAGAUUCAGUUCAAUGGAUCUCCUGUAGUACCUGAGCAUCAGAACUUCGUAGCCCCCGAAGGUGCAUGCUACGGCCAGAAAGAAACUCAGGGAAAAAUGGAUGUUGCAGAGACGUCGCCACAAAUGAAACCCACAGCGACAGGAGAAAGCGGCUCGCGUCCCGUUGAAGAAGAUGCUUCCCUGGAUUACUGUGCAGAGUUGAAGCUUUACCUUUCACCUGGAGAACGCGUGGUUCUGUGACCAAAACAGUGGCAGCUCCUCCACCAGCCCCUGCUGCUCCCAUCCCUUCCAGGGAAGAAACUUUUGUUUCUGUGAUGCCAGCGCAGGCAUUCAGAGCAAAGCCACUUCCAGGAAAUUCUAAGAAUGAGGUGCGGGCACCACUGGGCUGGCGCAUGAGAGUCAUGUGCCUCAGACUCCACGCCCCCUGCUGACCGUGCCCACAGGCUCCCAGGUUAUCUGUGGCGGAGGUCAGGGUCUGCUGGGCAGGGUCAGGGAUGUCUGGUUGGGCUGAAGCAGAUGCAGGGGUCCUGCGGUCACCACUGCCUCCGAUGAAGCUCUGAAUGGUCUUCUCUGUUCUUCCAUACGGUCAUGUGCCACACAACAACAUUUCCAACCACAGACAGCGUAUACUAUGGUUGUCCUGUAAGAGUAUAAGGGAGCUGAAAAAUUCCUAUCAUGUGAUGACAUUGUAGCCACCUCAACGUCUUAGCACAAUUAUAUAUAUAUACACACACACAUAUAUAUACUUUAUAUGUAGAGAGAGAGAGUGUGGCCUACGUGUGCAGUGUUUAUAAAGUCUGCAGUAGUCAUAGUGAUGUCCUAGGUCUUCACAUUCACUCCCGACUCACCCACUGACUCACAAGAGCAGCUGCCAGUCCUGCAAGCUCCACUCAUGGUAAGUGCCUUGCACAGGUACUGUUGUUCAUCUUUCGUAUUGUUCUUUCACGGCACCUUUUCUCUGUUUAGAUACACACACGCCACUGUGUCAUAAUUGCCGACAGCACUCAGCGCAGUGACAUGCAGGUCUCAGCCUGGCACGACAGGCUGUCUCAUAUCGCCAGGUGUAAAGCAGCUCAUAGCACGCGGGUGUGUGGAAGUUCACUCUGCGAUGCUCACACAACAGCAAAUUGCCUGAGGACCCAUUUCUCAGAAGGUAUCCUUGUCCUUAAGCAACACAUGACUGACAUUUGUAAAAGGGGCAAGAGACAGCUUGUGCUUCUCAGAAAAGGUGCCCAUUUUCAACUGGUUUAGGAAAUUUAGAAAGAGGGAGGAGGAGUAUUAAAGUGGCUAAGAGUGUUUCUUUCCAGUUGGUUGAUUCUGCACCUCACACACCUAAGGAGUCUGGGAAACAUCCUGGGUAGCAGUGGUGGAGAGUGGUCGUAAUUUACAUUGAAAUGGGGAUCACCACUGCAUAUACAGAUGGCCUUGCUAGGUGCUGAGGAAGCUCUGAUGCCCCCGCGAGGAUCAAACAUGAGUCGUGGAGACAGGACAUGGUGACAUGUAGGAGAACACAGUUGAAUGCCAGUCAUGACCUUCCAAGACGAGAAGCUUCACGGCAGGCAAUGAACAGAGACGGCGUCAUCUCCAAGGCUCAGUGGAGCGAGUCACGUCACCCUCACUUAGCUGCAUGGGUAAGUAAGCCCAGGCCUAGGGAGCUAGCGAGGGGCGGGGCCUGAAUUUGAACUCCAGCGGGCUGGCUGCAGGCCCUGCUGCCUCAGGACCCCCACCACAGGGAAGCUCACAGCCUCUCAGCAUCUAGCCCAACCAGGCCAGUCAAGAGGUUGGCAAAUUCUAAAAACCCCCGAUCACCAGCUGGUCUGGUCCCUCAGGCCUGGCUGUUCUCAGUCUGCCCCCUGGCUGUCCCCGGGGCCUCCCCAGCAGGGCCUCCAAAGGCACCCCUCCCACGCUUCACACCUGCCUGGGGUGCCUCUUUUCUCCUUGAAUUUAACUACAUCCAACAUCUCCUGAGCUGUUUGUGUGUGCUGGGCAGUGCACUAGGCUCUACAAAGAUAAGUUAGAAACAGUCCCUGUGGCAGGGAACUCACAACUUAGUCUUGGAGAACACAAUCUUGAACCCAGAGAAAGCAUGGCAAAUGUCUGCAAACACAUUCAGGGGGUCCGAGGGACUGACGAGGUAAGCACAGCCCGUGGGUUCCAUGCUUCAGAGCCUGGGGAGCACUGCCGCUGUGGAGGCGUCUGCACCACACGCUCGACAUUUCAUUCCAACCCUCACAACCGUCCUCCAAGAGAGCCAUUAUCGCUCCCACUUUUUGCAGAUGAGAAAAUCAAAUUACAGCCUGGUGACUUUGACCAUGGCCAUGCAGCUAGCCAUGGGCAGUGCCAAAUUUCAAAUACAUGUUCAUCUGGAUCCAUGUCAGCCUGAUUCCCACCAUUCCAGAUCCUCCCCUCAGUGCAGCCCAACCCUCUUUCAGAGCUGACGUCUCUGUAACCACCCAGCUCCUAAGUGGAGGGUUCAGGUUCAGGCUCAGGUGCCCCGUCCCCAAGCCUGCUCUUAGACCUGGCACAGAGCUGUUUAAGAGUAACUGGCCAAGGCUCUGGUGAAUGUGAGCCUCUGGGAGGUCCUGAAGAGGACAAAUGAAGGGUGUUUAUGUGGAAAGGAAGGAGAGAACUUCAUGGGCUGCGGUGAGGACAGGAAGACUCAGGCUUGCCUGGGAAACAGCAUCUG
rnacentral:lncRNA from 10 species